rnacentral:rRNA from 1 species
UACGUAGGGUGCGAGCGUUGUCCGGAAUUACUGGGCGUAAAGAGCUCGUAGGUGGUUUGUCGCGUUGUUCGUGAAAACCGGGGGCUUAACCCUCGGCGUGCGGGCGAUACGGGCAGACUUGAGUACUGCAGGGGAGACUGGAAUUCCUGGUGUAGCGGUGGAAUGCGCAGAUAUCAGGAGGAACACCGGUGGCGAAGGCGGGUCUCUGGGCCUUACCUGACGCUGAGGCGCGAAAGCUAGGGGAGCGAACAGG